UUUUUUUAAGAAAUGAUACUAUUAAAGGUCAAGUGUGUUUUUCUUUCCCAAGAAAAAAAGAAGUUAGAACUUAAUGAAAUUAUUGCUCAUCUCCAAGUUUUCUUGACUUUUCUAAUGUUUAAAAACAACAGCACCCUUGUAAUUCUCUAUCAAAACCAAAGCCUACAAAGAGCAAAGAUCAAAGAAUACCAAAUGGAAGAAGUAAUAUCAUGACUAACAAUAACUUCUUUUUAACUUUUUAAAUACUUCCAAUCUAGUAGAUUCAGUCAGUUGACAUAAGGGAAAUACACAGUAUAUAGUAGAUACCAAAAAAGUUACUAUUUAAGUGAAAAACUAAGUAGAGUAAAUGAUGAAGAAAUGAAGUUAUCUACUAUAUUUUCUACAAAAAGUAUAUCUAUAAAACACUUCCUACUAUAUUUAGGAUUUAUUGUUAUUUCAAAUAUGCUGUAUUAGACAUUGUGUGAAGAAUGCUUUUAAAGAGGGGAAAGGUCACCUCCUAAAGUCACAUUUAGAAAAUAUAACCUUUCUUGUAUUCAUUUUACAAACAUUUGGGGGUGGGGAGUACAAAAUAAAUAUGCUGACCAAAACUAAAACAUUAUUUGGGCUAAUAUAAAAAUCAUCAAAGAAAAUAAAAAGACUAACAUUUAAAUUCCAUAUCUUACAGUUACUUGAUCUUCCUAGUUUUGUUUAUAAGCCCAUUAUUUAGCUAAAGAAAUUAUUUGAAAAGAUGAAAGCAUAUAAAAGCUAAUAUGCAUCUAGUCUGCAUGUAGAAUAUUCAUUUAGAAAUU
rnacentral:lncRNA from 1 species